rnacentral:rRNA from 1 species
GUGGGGAAUCUUCCGCAAUGGACGAAAGUCUGACGGAGCAACGCCGCGUGAGUGAAGAAGGUUUUCGGAUCGUAAAGCUCUUUCGUUAGGGACGAACGUGCUCUUUGUGAAUAAUGAGGAGUAAUGACGGUACCUAAAUAAGAAGCCACGGCUAACUACGUGCCAGCAGCCGCGGUAAUACGUAGGUGGCAAGCGUUGUCCGGAAUUAUUGGGCGUAAAGCGCGCGCAGGCGGGAUAUCAAGUCUGUCUUAAAAGUGCGAGGCUCAACCUCGUGAGGGGACAGAAACUGGUAUUCUUGAGUGUCGGAGAGGAAAGUGGAAUUCCAAGUGUAGCGGUGAAAUGCGUAGAGAUUUGGAAGAACACCAGUGGCGAAGGCGACUUUCUGGACGAUGUCUGACGCUGAGGCGCGAAAGCUAGGGGAGCGAAUGGGAUUAGAUACCCGGGUAGUCC